UGGUCGCUACCCCGCCAGGGUUGAAGACCACGUCAACUUUUUCAUGGAAUCUGAGCUCUUCACUUUUCCAACGAUGAUGCGUAAUGUUGAAGCUUCUCUCUCGAGGAUGCGUUGAAGCCAAAAAUCUCAAGAUUGCUUCUUCGCUUAUUUUUUUUUGUAUUGUUUUCUUUUGUAAGAUCUUAUUAUUAUUUUAUUCUAGUAGAUAAUCAAAGUAUAAGAUCUUUGUCAUAAAACUCUAAAGAUGAAAUUAAUAUGUUAUUUUUAGAGCUGAAUGGUUUAAUAGAUCUGAGAACGUUGCAGACUUAGAAAGAACAAAUAUGAGACAUCACAUGCUCGUAAAUAGUUUUCUAACUAAAGACCAAGUUACUUGCAGCCUCAUAGUAGAAAGAACACUGUAUAUACCUUACAAUCCUUAAAUUAAAUACCUUUGGUUACCAUGUGCAUAUGAAAACAGAUAAAAUAAAAUAAAUUUAGUCACCUACAUGUGUCUGGUAGUUUCAAAUACACAGUUCCAGAAUAGAAUCUUGCUAGAAACCUGCAAAACAAUGUGAUAUCAGUUCCAGCCAGUAGCUAAAAAUAAAGGCAAAACUAAAAAAACAACGAACAUGGUGCUACUCCACAAAAGUAAGGAUACCAAGAGUUCAAAGUUUUUCUUUCAGUCACUACAACUGAACUGCAUAAGAGAACAAUCAAAUGCUUAAAAUUACCAUGGUUCUGUAGGAGCAGAUCAAGAGAAUUAACUCUCUCGAACCUUUGAGCUAAUUCAUUCUGAUCCAAAAAAAUAACACAUAUAUACAAAACUAAUCGUGUGUAUGAUCAUUAAACACAGUUUAAAAACCAUAGUGAAUGAUCAUCUAAAAGAAAUCUCCAAAAUACAACAUGGAUAUAAUAAAACAAUACCUUGAUCUCAAGCUGUUUCAAUAAAAAGACAGAGAAACCAGUAGUCUGUAUACAACUAUAAAUAAGAUAGGGAACUAAAAAUUCAUGAUUUUAAAAUACAAACUUUACCAAAAGCUCUCCAUCCUCAACCAAACACAUAUAUACAAAACUAAUAGCGUGUAAUCAACCAGGCUCGAGAUUCAUAAGAAACACAAAACUGUAUUCUUCUUCUGAGUUGGUGAUGACAGCGUGACG